rnacentral:rRNA from 1 species
GGGCUCACACAAGCGGUGGAGGAUGUGGCUUAAUUCGAGGCUACGCGAAGAACCUUAUCCUAGUCUUGACAUGUAUGGAUUAACCCUGUGAAAGCAGGGCCACGCCUUCGGGUGGAACAUACACAGGUGCUGCAUGGCUGUCGUCAGCUCGUGUCGUGAGAUGUCGCGUUAAGUCGCUUAACGAGCGAAACCCUUGUCUCUAGUUGCCAGCGCGUAAUGGCGGGGACUCUAGAGAGACCGCCGGCGUUAAGCCGGAGGAAGGUGGGGAUGACGUCAAGUCCUCAUGGCCCUUAUGACCAGGGGCUACACACGUGCUACAAUGGGGCGUACAGAGGGUUGCGAAGCCGCGAGGUGGAGCC